rnacentral:lncRNA from 1 species
UUUUCCAUUAAAUGAUAAACUCCUUCACACGACGCAAUUAGACCAAACUUACAGCGUUUAGAACAUAAAAUAUUCCUUUUACAACAAUAGAACCCUAAACACUAGUAUACAUAACUAACUUAAAAUAUAGUCUAAGCCUUCUUGGGGGAUUUGGUGGCCUUGGAUGGAGAUUUGGGUUCCUUGGAAGCCUUCUCAUUCUUCUUAGGCAACAAAACAGGGUUAAUGUUGGGCAGCACACCACCGUGAGCAAUUGUGACUCCAGCAAGCAAUUUCCCCAAUUCUUCAUCGUUCCUCACAGCCAGAAGCACAUGUCUAGGAAUAAUCCUGUUCUUCUUGUUGUCACGAGCAGCAUUACCAGCCAAUUCAAGAACCUACAUAAUCCAAUGCACACCAAAACACAAUCAAUCACCACAAUCGAAAAAAUUCUGCAAAUAAGAAUCACUGGUUGAUGCAAUUAAUGUUAGGUUACCUCAGCAGCUAGGUAUUCAAGUACAGCAGCCAAAUAUACUGGUGCACCGGUUCCAACACGCUGCGAGUACCUUCCUUUCUUCAAGUAACGCCCAAUUCUUCCAACGGGGAAUUGGAGACCGGCCCUCACGGACUUUGCGACCGGCUUCUUCUUUGGCCCACCGCCCUUUCUUCCUCCGGCGCCUUUCUUAAUCUUUCCACCGGCGUCCAUAACGAAACCCUAGAAAUUAGCUACGCUUGGAAAAUAGGAGGGGGAAUGAGGAAUGAGAAAAGUUAAGAGUGUAUUGAGAAGAAAGAGCUCAGACAGCUAUAGAUAUAGUUUUCCGCGCUCAAGUUCAGAUUGCACGGAUAUACGGUUUUCCCACAAAUAUCGGCCGUUGGAUUGGAUUUGAUCUACGCUUCAUAUUUCUCUCUGUGGCGAUCCGUGUGUUUCCAAUUGACCAAUCAGAUGCUGUUUUGUCAGCGUCUUGGAUUUUUCUUUAUAUCACUUUUAAAAUGCAUCCUUAUGGAUGGAGUUAUCUUUUAAAUGAUUUCUAAAAAAAAAACUCUUGAAAAUAAUUAAAAUAUAUGUACACUGAGUGUAAGAAACUAAGAUUUAUAUGAAAAUUAAAAACAAAAUCUCUUGCCAAGAGUUUCCUGCUAUUUGAAGGAAAUUAUAACAUAGCUUUUUAACUUACUAAAAUAAGAUCAAAUGCGGGUUACACUUGCAAUCUAUAAGGAAAUACUAAAAACAUUAUUAGAGUGAUGAAAAAUGCUUUUCAUACUUAUUCUUUGAUAAAAUAUAUAAUUAAUUAUCUUUAUACAAGAAAUUACGUAGAAAAGAUAGAAAUUAAAUGUGUUUAGGCUUUCUUGUAAUCAUUGUGACGACGUUGAUACAUGUGGUUGUUUUUUCCUACUUUUAUGAUCUUCCCCUUAAUCAGAAUAGACAAGGUUCGGUAAUGUGUACAUUUAUCUUUCUUAGUGAGUGAUCUGAUUAUAUAUUUUUAGUAGCAAUUAUGUUUUUUCUUUUAAACAACAAGUCCACCGUAUUAGUAGGAAACAAAGCCUUAUAUAUUAGUCGGAUUUAUGAUUCAAAGCACUGUGAAUAAAACAUUUAUUCUUUUAAUAGUUUAUAAUGAUUUGAUUAUACUUUAAGUUUUUAAUAAAUUUAUAUUUUUUAAUCGAAUCUUGUUAAAUUUAUGUGUUAAACAAGGUAAUGUGAUUAUUAAAGUAGUUAUUAUUUUAUUAUGUUUGAAUUUAUUUUCAUCAAAUGUAGGUUGUGUGUGGAUGGGGGAUAACUAUUCAAGUAAUGAUUUUAGGUAGGAUUCUGUUUGGCUUGCUAAUAAUGUUGCUGCUUGUUAUUAUUAUUGAAGGAUGCAACAAUUAGAUAAGGAUGGUUUUUUUCUUAUUCUAUUUUCUUGCAAGGACUUAAACCGGAUAAAGCGCUUUAUUAGAGCAUCAUCCAAGAAGAGUGUUGCAUAACUCCUUGUGAAUUGGACAAGGUGAAUACUAUUACAAAAUAAAUUCAAUCGCUGAAUGAUGCAAGAUAUGCGUCAACCAUUAGACACAACUCAAGCACAAGACAUGAAUUUGCAGCAGGUUCAACAGCAUUUGAAGUGUGCAAAUAAUUGUUCGUAAUGUUUCUGUUGCCGUUAACUUAAAAGAAAAAUAAUUAGAAGCUUAAACAUAUUAACGAAUUAUAAAUCAGAUUAACCCAUGAAAUUUGGCAUAGAGCAUUCAUAAUAUUUAAUUAUUUACCAACAUAUAAAUACUUGGAAUUCAUUUAACUGUAUCAAGAAGGUUAAAUAAGAGAGUGAAUAUAGAAUGAAAUUGGGCGAAAACAAGAGGGCUUUCACAUUAAUGAACAAAAUUCACAAAACACAAUUAGACGAAACUCAUAGUUAAAACGUCGAAUUCCCUUCUUGCCACAACCAAAGAACCCUAAACACUGAUAUACAUAACUAAAUCGAAACAUAGUCUAAGCCUUUUUGGGAGACUUGCUCGCCUUGGAAGGAGAUUUUGGUUCCUUAGAAGCCUUCUCGGUCUUCUUAGGCAACAAAACAGGGUUUAUGUUAGGCAGCACACCACCGUGAGCAAUUGUGACUCCGGCAAGCAAUUUCCCCAAUUCAUCGUCGUUCCUCACAGCCAAAAGCACAUGUCUGGGAAUAAUCCUGUUCUUCUUGUUGUCCCGUGCGGCAUUUCCAGCCAAUUCAAGAACCUAAACAGUCGAAUCCACAACAAAAUACAGUCAAUUACCACAACACAAAAAAGAACCCCGGUUAGAAAUAAUUGAUUCAUGCAAAUGAUGCUAAGUUACCUCAGCGGCUAGGUAUUCCAGAACAGCAGCCAGAUAAACAGGAGCACCGGUUCCCACACGCUGAGCGUAUCUUCCUUUUUUCAAGUAACGGCCAAUUCUACCAACAGGGAAUUGGAGACCAGCCCUCACAGACCUUGUGACCGGCUUCUUUUUUGGCCCACCACCCUUUCUUCCUCCGGCACCCUUCUUAAUCUUUCCACCGCCGUCC